rnacentral:rRNA from 1 species
UGGGGAAUUUUGGACAAUGGGCGCAAGCCUGAUCCAGCCAUGCCGCGUGCGGGAAGAGGGCCUUCGGGUUGUAAACCGCUUUUGUCAGGGAAGAAAUCUUCUGAGUUAAUACCUCGGGAGGAUGACGGUACCUGAAGAAUAAGCACCGGCUAACUACGUGCCAGCAGCCGCGGUAAUACGUAGGGUGCAAGCGUUAAUCGGAAUUACUGGGCGUAAAGCGUGCGCAGGCGGUUUUGUAAGACAGAGGUGAAAUCCCCGGGCUCAACCUGGGAACUGCCUUUGUGACUGCAAGGCUUGAGUGCGGCAGAGGGGGAUGGAAUUCCGCGUGUAGCAGUGAAAUGCGUAGAUAUGCGGAGGAACACCGAUGGCGAAGGCAAUCCCCUGGGCCUGCACUGACGCUCAUGCACGAAAGCGUGGGGAGCAAACAGGAUUAGAUCCCUGGUAGUCCACGCCCUAAACGAUGUCAACUGGUUGUUGGGAAGGUUCCUUCUCAGUAACGUAGCUAACGCNUGAAGUUGACCGCCUGGGGAGUACGGCCGCAAGGUUGAAAC